CCGGAGUGGACGAACCUCUGGUGUACCGGUUGUCACGCCAGUGGCAUCGCCGGGUAGCUAUGUUCGGAAGAGAUAACCGCUGAAAGCAUCUAAGCGGGAAACUCGCCUUAAGAUGAGAUAUCCCUGGAGGCUAGACCUCCUUGAAGGGUCGUUCGAGACCAGGACGUUGAUAGGUCAGGUGUGUAAGCGCAGUAAUGCGUUCAGCUAACUGAUACUAAUUGCCCGUAAGGCUUGAUCCU
rnacentral:rRNA from 1 species